rnacentral:rRNA from 1 species
GAUGAACGCUAGCUACAGGCUUAACACAUGCAAGUCGAGGGGAAACGACAUUGAAGCUUGCUUCGAUGGGCGUCGACCGGCGCACGGGUGAGUAACGCGUAUCCAACCUGCCUCUGACUAAGGGAUAACCCGGCGAAAGUCGGACUAAUACCUUAUGAGGUUUUCUGCAGACAUCUAACGAAAACGAAAGAUUUAUCGGUCAGCGAUGGGGAUGCGUCUGAUUAGCUUGUUGGCGGGGUAACGGCCCACCAAGGCAACGAUCAGUAGGGGUUCUGAGAGGAAGGUCCCCCACAUUGGAACUGAGACACGGUCCAAACUCCUACGGGAGGCAGCAGUGAGGAAUAUUGGUCAAUGGGCGAGAGCCUGAACCAGCCAAGUAGCGUGCAGGAUGACGGCCCUAUGGGUUGUAAACUGCUUUUAUGUGGGGAUAAAGUGAGCUACGUGUAGUUUAUUGCAGGUACCACAUGAAUAAGGACCGGCUAAUUCCGUGCCAGCAGCCGCGGUAAUACGGAAGGUCCAGGCGUUAUCCGGAUUUAUUGGGUUUAAAGGGAGCGUAGGCCGUGGAUUAAGCGUGUUGUGAAAUGUAGACGCUCAACGUCUGAAUUGCAGCGCGAACUGGUUCACUUGAGUAUGCACAACGUAGGCGGAAUUCGUCGUGUAGCGGUGAAAUGCUUAGAUAUGACGAAGAACUCCGAUUGCGAAGGCAGCUUACGGGAGCACAACUGACGCUGAAGCUCGAAGGUGCGGGUAUCAAACAGG